CACGUAGGGUGCGAGCGUUGUCCGGAAUUAUUGGGCGUAAAGAGCUCGUAGGCGGUGUGUCGCGUCGGCCGUGAAAACCUGCAGCUCAACUGUGGGCUUGCGGUCGAUACGGGCAUCACUGGAGUUCGGCAGGGGAGACUGGAAUUCCUGGUGUAGCGGUGAAAUGCGCAGAUAUCAGGAGGAACACCGGUGGCGAAGGCGGGUCUCUGGGCCGAUACUGACGCUAAGGCGCGAAAGCGUGGGGAGCGAACAGG
rnacentral:rRNA from 1 species